rnacentral:sRNA from 12 species
CCAAUCUAGGCGUCCAAAUCUGUCUCUGACAUUUCCCUGUACGUUAGCGAUGAUCCGCAAGGUAGCGACGACGAUUGGACCAGGGCAGCCGGCGUUCCCUGAUCAGGAUGGCUGGCCUGG